rnacentral:rRNA from 1 species
CAGCCGCCACGGGAAUACGAAGGGGGCUAGCGUUGUUCGAAUUUACUGGGCGUAAAGCGCACGUAGGCGGAUCGAUCAGUCAGGGGUGAAAUCCCAGAGCUCAACUCUGGAACUGCCUUUGAUACUGUCGAUCUGGAGUAUGGAAGAGGUGAGUGGAAUUCCGAGUGUAGAGGUGAAAUUCGUAGAUAUUCGGAGGAACACCAGUGGCGAAGGCGGCUCACUGGUCCAUUACUGACGCUGAGGUGCGAAAGCGUGGGGAGCAAACAGGAUUAGAUACCCGCGUAGUCCCUGUCUCUUAUAC